GUAUCAAGUAAAAACAAAAGUAUUUUCUACUAAUUUAUUAAAUACUUCUACAGACUUAACUAAAUAUACAUGCAUGUAGGUACGUACAUGUACUUACAAGGCACACACGUAUGUAUGUAUAUAUGUGUGUGUAACUAUAUAGCUGAAUGUGCGAGUUUUUUUCUCCUUUUUGAAACAUCUAAGUGUACAUAACAAAACUGUAUAUUUUUAUAUUAUUGAUCAGAACAGAAGCGACAACCAAAAACAUGUCGAGGCUUGGCAAAUCGAAAGCCACAACCAUCAAAAUUUCUGUAAACAAAUCAAAUAAUUGUAUUAUUAACGUAACGAAAUGGAAUGAAAAUGAAAAUUGGUGAAUGCAUCUGUUGAAGCUGGCAGCAGGGGAAAGCCGUGUAUGUUCUUGCAUACCCGUUAAUGUAAUUGUUUAAGUGUUGAUCCAAGUUGAUGUUGCCGCUGAAAUUUUUGUCAAAUUUUGGGGCAUACUCAAACUAAAUACCCAGCGUUGCGACAGAAUCAAAGCAUCUAUGAAAAUCUGUUUUAGCCCCAUAAAUUUACUAAAAGUGUUUAUAGAAUUGUUGUACUAGCAAAAAUGUAUUAAUUGCGAUUUGAAAAGUCUAAAUAAACCGCUGCAGUGUCUAUAUAUGAAUGUAUACUCUAACCAAAAUUAUAAAUGACUUUCUAUUUCUGUUGACAGGCUUUUGGCUGACAUUGGUCUAACGGCAAUGACAAAUGUAAGCUAUAAGUAAAAGGACUAGGAAACAAUCUUUGGAUUUUUCUUCGCUUUCCUUUGUAUUGAAGACAUUCAACUAACACAUGCCAUGCCCUGAACUUGCUUACAAGUAUAACAAAAAAGCCCAGACGAUUUAUAAUCGGUGAUAUAACUCUAUAAGCGACUUGCCCAGUCCUGGUUAAUACUCAUAUUU